AAUUAGAUCGGAGAAGGAAUUCCCACAGUUGAACCUGAGCCCGUAGACAAGUGCGAGGCUCUCAAGCGAUUGCUCACUCUCAUCGCCCAGUGCUUCCAAGUCUCCAAUUUCUUCCCUGAGGGAAUGAAACUGCUCUCUUCGUCUUCUUGAUACCCACAUUGAUAGCAUUGAUCUUCAACAGUUAAAGUGAAAACACAUACCAAAGCAACAAAGCUAUGGUGGUGGGAAUAAUCGUUCUCAGGUAUGUGAAGUUUGCAAUCGAAUACAUGCGAAGACCUAUCCAGAAAAAUGCAAAUUUUGACAUAAUGAACGUGAGCAUCAUUAACGAAACUGAGAUUGUAUGAUGCAGUUGAAGACGCCAACGUAAAUGGAACAUAAAGAAGAGGGACAAAUAAAGAAUAGAGGAUAAAAUACAUUAGCUCCUUUCGGUUCUGUUAAUUGGUACUUUUCUCCUAUUUUUCAUUUUGUUUAUGCAUGAAUACAUAUCCAUCAUUCCUAUAUACAAUCAGAAUAACUAUGUAUUUCGUGUAUCAUCAUAUUUUUGGCCUGAAAUCUUAUUUGGAUGGUCCUGCUUCUGUACGAAGUUCUUUCUUAUAUGAUGAAUGACUUCCUCGCCUAUUUUGUGUUCAUUGCACUCUAGCGUUAGGUGUACGAAAACACACAAUUUUUUUUUCUUUCCACCUCAAGUGACAAAUUUGUAA
rnacentral:sRNA from 1 species